GACGAACGCUGGCGGCGUGCUUAACACAUGCAAGUCGAGCGGUAAGGCCCUUUCGGGGGUACACGAGCGGCGAACGGGUGAGUAACACGUGGGUGACCUGCCCUCAGCUCUGGGAUAAGCCUGGGAAACCGGGUCUAAUACCGGAUAUGACUCCAUGACGCAUGUUGUGGGGUGGAAAGCCUUGUGCGGCUGAGGAUGGGCCCGCGGCCUAUCAGCUUGUUGGUGGGGUGAUGGCCUACCAAGGCGACGACGGGUAGCCGGCCUGAGAGGGCGACCGGCCACACUGGGACUGAGGCACGGCCCAGACUCCUACGGGAGGCAGCAGUGGGGGAUUUUGCACAAUGGACGAAAGUCUGAUGCAGUGACGCCGCGUGGGGAUGACGGCC
rnacentral:rRNA from 1 species